rnacentral:rRNA from 1 species
UACAGAGGGGGCAAGCGUUAAUCGGAUUUACUGGGCGUAAAGCGCACGUAGGCUGUUACUUAAGUCAGAUGUGAAAUCCCCGGGCUUAACCUGAGAAUUGCAUUUGAUACUGGGUAGCUAGAGGUUGGUAGAGGAAAGUGGAAUUUUCGGUGUAGCGGUGAAAUGCGUAGAUAUCGGAAGGAACAUCAGUGGCGAAGGCGACUUUCUGGAUCAAUUCUGACGAUGAGGUGCGAAAGCGUGGGGAGCAAACAGG